ACUGUGGGUAGCGGAGAAAUUCCAAUCGAACCCGGAGAUAGCUGGUUCUCUCCGAAAUAGCUUUAGGGCUAGCCUUGAAAUAGAUUACCGGAGGUAAAGCACUGAAUUGGCUAGGGGCCGAGAGGUUACUGAACCUUAUCAAACUAAGAAUGCCGGAUAAUCGUUUUUCAGGAGUCAGACAGUGGGAGAUAAGUUUCAUUGUCAAAAGGGAAACAGCCCAGACCCACAGCUAAGGUCCCCAAGUAUAGUUAAGUGGAAAAGGAUGUGGAAUUGCACAGACAACCAGGAUGUUGGCUUAGAAGCAGCCACUCAUUAAAAGAGUGCGUAAUAGCUCACUGGUCGAGUGACUCUGCGCCGAAAAUUUAACGGGGCUAAACUAUACACCGAAGCUUGGGAUACAUCUAAUGUAUGGUAGGAGAGCGUUCUGUAUGGGGAGAAGUCGUAGCGAAAGCGGCGGUGGACUAUACAGAAGUGAGAAUGCCGGAAUAAGUAGCGAGAAUUAAGUGAGAAUCUUAAUGGCCGAAAGUCUAAGGUUUUUGGAGGAAGGUUCGUCCGCUCCAAGUAAGUCGGGAGCUAAGGUCAGGCCGAAAGGCGUAGCCGAUGCACAUACGGUUGAUAUUCCGUAACCAUCUGUAAUUUAAGCAAAGGGACACUUCAAAAGGGUGUGACCCGGGCGUUGGUUGACCCGGGCGUAAGGGACCGAAAUUAGAGUAGGGAAGCACACUUAGCUGAAGGCGAGAAAAGCUUUGCGUAUAGAAACAGAUGCCCGUACCGCAAACCGACACAGGUGGACAGGAAGAGAAUUCUAAGGCCAGCGGGAGAAGGGUAGUUAAGGAACUCGGCAAAUUGACUCCGUAACUUCGGAAUAAGGAGUGCUCGAAAGAGCCGCAGAGAAUAGGCCCAGGCGACUGUUUAGCAAAAACACAGGUCUCUGCCAAAUCGAAAGAUGAAGUAUAGGGGCUGACACCUGCCCGGUGCCGGAAGGUUAAGAGGAGGAGUGAGAGCUCCGAAUUGAAGCCCCGGUAAACGGCGGCCGUAACUAUAACGGUCCUAAGGUAGCGAAAUUCCUUGUCGGGUAAGUUCCGACCCGCACGAAUGGUGUAACGAUCUGGACACUGUCUCAACUACCCACCCGGCGAAAUUGUAGUACCGGUGAAGAUGCCGGUUACCUGCGGCAAGACGGAAAGACCCCAUGGAGCUUUACUGUAGCCUGAUAUUGGGUUUCGGAAAUCUAUGUACAGGAUAGGCGGGAGACUUGGAAACAUGAGCGUCAGCUUGUGUGGAGUCGAUGUUGGGAUACCGCCCUUAGGUUUCUGGAAUUCUAACCUGCGGCCGUGAAACCGGUCGGGGGACAUUGUCAGGUGGGCAGUUUGACUGGGGCGGUCGCCUCCGAAAAGGUAACGGAGGCGCUCAAAGGUUAGCUCAGCACGGACGGAAACCGUGCCUCUGAGUGUAAACGCAAAAGCUAGCCUAACUGCGAGGGUGACGGCCCGAGCAGUAACGAAAGUUGGAGUUAGUGAUCCGGCGGUAUGUGAAUGGAAAUGCCGUCGCUCAACGGAUAAAAGCUACCCUGGGGAUAACAGGCUGAUCUCCCCCAAGAGUCCACAUCGACGGGGAGGUUUGGCACCUCGAUGUCGGCUCAUCACAUCCUGGGGCUGUAUUCGGUCCCAAGGGUUCGGCUGUUCGCCGAUUAAAGUGGUACGCGAGCUGGGUUCAGAACGUCGCGAGACAGUUCGGUCCCUAUCUGUCGUGGGCGCAGGAUAUUUGAGGAGCUCUGUCCUUAGUACGAGAGGACCGGGAUGGACGUACCUCUGGUGCACCAGUUGUCAUGCCAAUGGCACGGCUGGGCAGCUAUGUACGGAACGGAUAAACGCUGAAAGCAUCUAAGCGUGAAGCCGACUCCAAGAUUAGAUAUCCCAUCGUAUAACGAGUAAGACCCCUUGAAGACUACGAGGUUGAUAGGCUGCGUGUGUAAGUGCCGUGAGGCAUUCAGCUUGGCAGUACUAAUAGGUCGAGGGCUUGACCA
rnacentral:rRNA from 1 species